rnacentral:rRNA from 1 species
ACAGAGGGCCCGAGCGUUAGUCGGAAUUACUGGGCUUAAAGGGUGCGCAGGCGGAUCGGCAGGCAUCUUGUGAAAUCCCCCGGCUCAACCGGGGAAUUGCGGGGUGAACCGCCGGUCUUGAGGCAGGUAGGGGCCAGUGGAACCAUGGGUGGAGCGGUGAAAUGCGUAGAUAUCUAUCGGAACGCCGAAGGUGAAGACAGGCCGCUGGGCUGAUUCUGACGCUGAGGUACGAAAGCGUGGGGAGCAAACGG